rnacentral:rRNA from 1 species
GAAUAGCCCGGAGAAAUCCGGAUUAAUACCUCAUAAUAUUUCGAAUUCGCAUGUUUUCGAGAUUAAAGUUCAGACGGUUAGAGAUGGGCAUGCGUGACAUUAGUUAGUUGGUGAGGUAACGGCUCACCAAGACUACGAUGUCUAGGGGGUCUGAGAGGAUGGUCCCCCACACUGGUACUGAGACACGGACCAGACUCCUACGGGAGGCAGCAGUGAGGAAUAUUGGGCAAUGGACGCAAGUCUGACCCAGCCAUGCCGCGUGCAGGAUGACUGCCCUAUGGGUUGUAAACUGCUUUUAUUUGGGAAGAAACCCUCGCUCGUGAGCGGGGCUGACGGUACCAAAAGAAUAAGCAUCGGCUAACUCCGUGCCAGCAGCCGCGGUAAUACGGAGGAUGCAAGCGUUAUCCGGAUUUAUUGGGUUUAAAGGGUGCGUAGGCGGAAAUUUAAGUCAGUGGUGAAAUCCUACAGCUCAACUGUAGAACUGCCAUUGAUACUGAUUUUCUUGAGUAUAGUUGAGGUGGGCGGAAUGUGUAAUGUAGCGGUGAAAAUGCUUA